GCAAGUCGAACGAGGAAUAGGGAGCUUGCUCCCUAUAACCGAGUGGCGGACGGGUGAGUAACACGUGACCAACCUAUCUUUAGGAGGGGGACAACCCGAGGAAACUUGGGCUAAUACCGCAUAAUGUCUGACCACCUCAUGGUGGACAGAUGAAAGGGGGCCUCUACUUGUAAGCUCUCACCUAUUGAGGGGGUCGCGGCGUAUCAGCUUGUUGGUGGGGUAACGGCCUACCAAGGCUACGACGCGUAGCGGGUCUGAGAGGACGACC
rnacentral:rRNA from 1 species